rnacentral:rRNA from 1 species
AUUGAACGCUGGCGGCGUGCCUAACACAUGCAAGUCGAGCGGUAACAGGUGUAGCAAUACAUGCUGACGAGCGGCGAACGGGUGAGUAAUGCUUCGGAAUCUGCCCAUGUAGUGGGGAAUAACCAGCCGAAAGGUUGGCUAAUACCGCAUACGACCCUUGCCCACAAGGCAAAGGUAGAAAACAAGGGGAGUCGCAAGACCUUGCGCUAUUGGAUGAGCCGAAGCGGAUUAGCUAGUUGGUAGGGUAACGGCCUACCAAGGCGACGAUCCGUAGCUGGUCUGAGAGGACGACCAGCCACACUGGGACUGAGACACGGCCCA